AUUAUUAUUUUUCAGGAUGACAUGAUCAGGAGGUGGCGGUGUUCUGUGCUCCUCGACAGCUUCACUCCGCAAAUAGCUCAACCACUGAGGGGAGGAACUUCACCAUUCAAAAGACAAUGUCUUCAGGCAGAGUCCAGCAAAGCAGCUUCCCCUGGAAAUCCUCAGUGAAGUUAUUUUGUCAGCGGGUGACUCUGCAUAUUUGACACUUUCUCUGGUUUGCAGAUGGUUUAGGGAUGUGGUCACUCAAGAAGUUUGCCUGGCUAGACAUUGUGGCCAACUGGAAGAAUUGUCCUCCUGUCUACCGGAACGAGUUCAGACGGAUGUACAGCAUCAGGGAAUGCUUGCAGUGCAGAGCCCUUUUCAAGUUUAACCCACCAGGGUACAGGGAAGAGGCCGGCGUGGUGAUCUUCUGGGCUUUUGUUUACACAGGAUUUUGUUCCAAGGCAUUUUGUUUUUGCGGCAUGAAACACAUUUGUGUGUUAAGUUCAUUGAAGGGAAAUAGAGAAUGAACUGAGAUCAACUGGUUUUGAUGUAUUAAUUGAUGUCAUUUAAAUUUAAAAUUUGCAGUGUAUAAUGUUUUAGUAAAAAAGCAAUGGCAAACACGUGCAUGACAA